rnacentral:lncRNA from 1 species
CUGCCAGUUACUAGGGAAACGGGCAGGGAGGCAGCUGGGUCAGGCUGGGAGGGUGGCAAUCGGCAGAAGUCGACAUUUCAGCCCUCUCCAUGUGCCUCAAACCCCCUCCCCUGCUAGACGAAGCCUCUGGGACCUUAGAGAUGAGGUCUGGGGCACAACUCCAAAAUCGCUACAAAUUGCUAUGAGCCCUCAGUGAAUUUCUGUGGCUUCAGUGAAGGGGACAUGAGUCAAUGACAAAUACAGAGGCAGAGAACUGCGUAUUUCCAGUUAGGGACUUUUAGAAUGGAUCUGGGCACGCACAGGGCUUUCUUAAUUUGCUUCCAACCUGGCCCCUGCAGUCACAAUCCAGAGGGACAACACUUGGAAAGAAGGGCUCCAUGACCUUCAACACUAUGAACACCAACCUCUAACCAGCUACCACUAAUAGGCCAGUAAUCCGGCCCAGCUUAAAGCAGCAAGAUAAGA